GCGCAUCCUUGCUACUCCGCUUCUCCACGUCGGUGCCAUAACCACAAACAAAAAUAUCUUCAACAAUUACGCGGCCGGAAAAUUUUCAGUCGGAACCAAAACUCAAAAAAAAAAAUGAAAGGUCAGCUAUUCCUCAAAAAUAAAAGAAUUGAAGUUGGGAGGCAAGCCAUUAAAAUUGGAACAAUGAAGUCUUGUGCUCUGCAAUUGAGAUAUAGUUCUGUGACCAAACUCCAUUGUUUACUUCAUUCUUCCCCAGCAGGAGUCAUAGUUUUUUAUUUCGCCAGCAAGAAUGGAACCUAAGUCAAUAGAGAAAGGGUGAAGAUGAUGACGCCACUUGUUCUCACUCAAUCCUGUUAUCUGCGUUUUGGAAUGGUAAAGGCUUUUCUCAAAAUAAAUGAGGAACGAUUGUUUUUUCAGGGCAAUCGUAAUAAGCUCAGGAAGAGGAAAUUGCAAUUGCGCCAAUCCACGUUGAAAUCAGCCGUGCGAGAUGCCAAUUCUGAAGGUAAAUUCAGCGCAGUAGGUAACUGCCUCGUUGAGUGUCUCAGACAAGAUGGACGGAGUCUUCCUGCCCAUAAACGCCAGAAAUUAGAAAAAAUUUGUCAUUAAAAAUCAGGCAAUUAUUAACUCGCUUGAUUCGUUUUCAUAUUAUUACGAUUAUAUUCAUAAAUAAAUCAUGAGCUGAGUAUCCAAUUGACGGUAACAACGUAUUAGAGACGCAAUGCUGAUCAACGCUGCAGUAUGUUUAGUGACCGUUUUUAUGAAUAUAACACUAGAAAUGGCGCACGCUACGCAGCGUUGAUCAGUAUUGCGUUUUAUUUAUGAAUUUAAUCGCAAUAAUAUGUUGCACUUUACUGGUUAUCAUGAUAUUUACAGCCAAGUGCAACACAUGGCAAUAUUUCGUAUACACCACUGUAUAUCAGCACAUCGGAUACAAUCAGAUUUUGUUUAUCAUUGUUUUAAAAUCAUAAUUGUCAAUAGGUCAAAAUCAAUUUUUUUUUAAAAUUAACUUUGAAGCUAUGGUACAGUGCCAACCUGUUAAUUGAAUGAGAAUAUAAUCAUUUUAAUCCCAUUGUUAAAAAUGUAGUAAAAUAAAUACAAUUAAUGUGAUAUACA